rnacentral:misc_RNA from 1 species
GAUGAAGAACGCAGCGAAAUGCGAUAAGUAAUGUGAAUUGCAGAAUUCCGUGAAUCAUCGAAUCUUUGAACGCAUAUUGCGCCCUCUGGUAUUCCGGGGGGCAUGCCUGUCCGAGCGUCAUUACAACCUUCAAGCACGGCUUGGCUGUUGAGCGGUCUGUUUUAACGAACAGGGCUCGAAAUGCAGUGGCGACGGCGAGAUUGGUGCCCGAGCGUAUGGGGCUCUGUCACACGCUCUGGUGGCUCCACUUGCAGUCUGCCACAGACUCAAAUCAAUCUGAUUGACCUCGGAUCAGGUAGGAACACCCGCUGAACUUAAGCAUAUCAAUAAGCGGAGGA